AAGCUAUGAUGAGGCCAAUGUCUUUAUAGACUCUUGAAACUAUCCCAUGCUUCAAUAAUGACUCUCCAUAUUCCUGAGCAAAAUUUGUAAUGCAAUUCCUCAUAU